UACGUAGGGUGCGAGCGUUGUCCGGAAUUAUUGGGCGUAAAGGGCUCGUAGGCGGUUUGUCGCGUCGGGAGUGAAAACCCGAGCUCAACCUCGGGCCUGCAUUCGAUACGGGCAGACUAGAGUAUGGCAGGGGAGACUGGAAUUCCUGGUGUAGCGGUGAAAUGCGCAGAUAUCAGGAGGAACACCGGUGGCGAAGGCGGGCUCUGGGCCAAAACUGACGCUGAGGAGCGGAAGCGUGGGGAGCGAACAGG
rnacentral:rRNA from 1 species